GUCGACUUCGCCGGCUGGAAGCAGCAGCAGCGGCAGCGGCAGCGGUGCGGAGCAGCCCAGGCUGCGCGGCGUGCGGAAGCGGCCGUGGGGCCGGUACGCGGCGGAGAUCCGCGACCCCGUGCGGAAGGCGCGCGUGUGGCUCGGCACCUUCGACACCCCCGAGCAGGCCGCGCGCGCCUACGACGCCGCCGCGCUGAAGCUCCGCGGGCCCGGCGCCACCACCAACUACCCCUCGGCCGACGCGAAGGCGGCGGCGGCUCCGGCGACGAGCGGUAGCGGGAGCGGGAGCAUCGUGCUGUCAGAGGGCGCGUCGUCCUCCUCCUCCUCCUCUCGGGACUCUCCGCUGGCACCGAGUCUGGCGCUUCCGGCCACGGCCGCCGCGCAGCCCUGCCAUCUGUUCCUGGACCCAACGACGACGACGGUGAUGGUCGUGGCGCCGGCGCUGCUGCAGUUCCUGCCGCCGAAGAGCGAGGAGGAGCAUAGCUUCGCAGGGUCGAGCUCCUCGCCGCCCGUGGUGUUUGACUCGGCGCCGCCGGCCGUGGGCCUGGGGCUGGACCUGAACCUGGCGCUGCCGGCGCCAGGGACGAUGGUGGUGUAGCGGACAGACUAAUCAAUUGGUUAAUUGCAUACAGUAGGAAUUAGCUGAUGAUGGAUCCAGAUGCCAUCAGGCCAGUGUAAAAUAGGCUGCAGAUUUGUGAACGCAGCCCAUCGUUUUCCUUUCUUUUUGUACUGGCACAUCUGCAUCUUCUUGCAAUGCAACAACGAGGAUGAUCUUCCCUCCCAGUUUACUACAAUCUCUCGUCUGCCAGUCUCACAGGUCCAGCAGCUCCUGAAACCUCCGAAUUGUAGCGCGCCGCGCGCCGGGAUAUGGGUUCGCAGAGUCGGAUGGCAUCCGGAUAGAGUUCUGGGUACGCGCACGGCGCACGGGUAUGCGGGUAGCAAGCGGCGGCGUCACGUACGCGUCGCCGGGCAGGGCAGGUAGGAGUAGGACGUGGUCUCGAGGCAACGCGCCCGUGUCGGCAGGGCAGCUGGACAGCGCGGCAGCGUGGUGCCGUGGUGUACGCGCGGCCACGAUGCACCGUCCGCAUCCAGUAGGACGUGUGCGUGCAGGUGCGCGCGCCGCCGCCGACGUCUCCAUCAACCGCCCCACGGUUUUUAAAAAGUCCGCCGACCCCGGAGGCGCGACGCGGGGUUCCCCGCAGUCGCCGUUGGCCGGCGGCAGGCGUCCCGUGCGCGUGCGGCUAUCGCUGUCGCAGGCUCGCAGGUGGCAGGCUGGCAGAGCAGGCGCCGCUCACCCUCAUAUUCCCUCGCAGCUGACGUUUCACCUCCAAAACUUGUCGCACGAAAAAUAUUCAUUUAAUCACCUUCUCAAAGUAACCAAGAGUUCUAAAAAAAAAAUCUUCCCAAAACAAAGUAUUGGGACUAUGCUAAAACAAAUUUCUCCAGAAAAUAUAUAACACAUAGCAAAAUGCUAAAAAUUCUUCCCAAAACAAAGUAUUGGGGCUAUGCUAAAAAAAAAUUCUCCAGAAAAUAUAUAACACAUAGCAAAAUGCUAAAAACUAUCCCCCAAUAAUUCAAAAGGACCACUUCAUCAUAAUCGGAAUCAAGUAUCAAAAGAACGACAACUCGUUGGAUCGGGCCUGUCUCUAGUGCAACAGCAUGUAGAGCAGCAUGUCAUUGCAGGCGUCCAUAGUGCUGGGCAAGCACUAGUGCAGAUAGUCACGCGACACAGACGGGUGGAAGAACCAGCUCGCCGAGACCACCACGUAGUCGAACUCGCCGGCGCGCGCCGACCACCCGGCAUCCGGCUGGUCGAGGUGGAGGCUCCACAGCCUGCCCCACUCCUUCGCUGCGCUCUUCCACGGGACCCUCGCCGCGCUCGCCGUGGCCAGGGCUAUCCUCGAGCUGCCCGCGGGGUCCCGCUCCUUCGCCUCGCCCAACAAGCGCCUUCAGGAGCACGUCCUCGACUACAACAUCGCCUAUUUUACCAUGGACCUGCUCCACUACCUCACCUUUCUGCCCAGAGACGUCCUCUUCAUCGCGCACCAUUGAUUCAACCCCUGGCGCCAUCAUGCAACCGCGGAGCAAGAGGGGAUUCAACCACCACCCGCUAGCGCUGCCGCCGAUCCCGUCCGUCUUCGGCGGCCGGUACACUGCCCUCACCUUCCCGCCGCCGCACUUCUUUCUCGCGUGCGUUCCCUCACCUAACCUCACUCUCCACAUCGCAGCUUCCCACGCCUCCCUCCUCUCCAACCGGCGGUGUCGAUCGCGCCAUGGAGAACGGCCUCCUCGACGACCCCUUCGCGCUCGCCCCGCCGCCUUGCUACUCGCCCCGCCAUCCCGCUGCUCACUCCGCCAGCACCGCUGCUCGCGCGGGAAGUGGCCGUGCAGGACGUUUGGGAAAAGACGUGCGCGGGGGAUUGGGGAAGACCAGCUGACGUGAAUAUAUGCGGUGCCAGUGGUGUUUUUUUCGCGUCACCAAUCUUUUGGAAAGUUUUAGGUGGAUUAUUGGAGUUCUUUUUUUCAUUUUUUUUCCUAAAAAAAGGUAUUGGAGGUAAGAUUAGAGUCUUUUGGAGUUCUCUCACCUAAUUAACAAAUCAAUCUACAUUCACUCCCAAUCUACAUUGCCCAGCCAGACUCGCUCACCCCUUCCAUCGCCUCUUUCAUUGGUCACCCCUCCGUUCCUUGAUUAUCUGCUCGACACAUAAACGAUGCCCACUUGCAUGCAACACCGCGCAUCCGUGCCGCUUCCCCAUCGCUCGAUGCUCGCCGCCGCUUCCCAUAGCUAGCACGCUCGUCGCCGCUUCACAUUGCCUUAUUUGCCACUCUACUGCAGCUCUCCCCUCCCAUCCCAUGGUGCUAAGCGACUUCGGCAAGAGCCGUGGUUCACGGGAUUCGGGCUAAGCAGCUGCAUCUUCCAGCGAAGGGAGUGGAUCCACGACCUCCGGCUCUGGAUCGGGUGUGGGGGAGGUUGGAGUUGCAGGCUCGGUGGAGGUGGGAUGCGUAGUGGCUGAUCCUUAUCUUCCCACAGGACUCCUCUACUAUUUAAGCCCUCUUUGGCACGGCUAAUUUCAGCUUUAGCUUCAUCUAUUUUGCGCAAAUCGAGGCACUGUAGCGUGAAAUUAUUUUGUAAGCCGGGGCUAAAAUGAAUUAGAAGCUAGGUGAAGCCAGUUUUUUUAGCUUCACCGGUGAAAGUAUGUGCAAUGUUGCAUUCUCGUAUGGAAUCAUGAUAACAAUGUUGCAUUCUCGUAUGGCCACAGACAGUCAUAACAUUCACCUACACUAUCUAUUUAAUAAUGCUUGUUUCCUCUAUUAAUUUUAGAUUUUUUUCCCCAAGUAAAAAUAUGUGCAAGUAAAAUGUGCAUCAAUAAAAUAUAAGCACAUCUAUCAUGAUGAUCGUGCUUGGAUUGGCACGGCACGAAGUUGUACCGGCGUGCAGCACGGGCCAUGCUUGUGCUUAGUAAAAGACUUAUCGUGCUGUGCCGGUACAACACGACGUACCUAACGUGCUCGGAAGUCCAGACACGAUGCGGCACGGGGCAUGAGAGGGCCCGGCCGUGCAAUGAAAAUCUUACCAAGGCAAGCAAGUUGUACCAAGUCGUUAUCCUUGCCUGUUCAAGCGAGACGACGCCGAGCACGGGAACCGAGAUCGAAACGAACCCUCAAAGUAGGAAAGUGACAUUCUGCAGUAACCUCAUGCUACACUCAACAACAAAUCACAAGACAUCGUUUCUUGAUCCGACGGCUGCGCGGGCCAGCCACAUCCCACGCGGCACUGCGCGCCACGAGUCGGAACCGACCCGAACCAGCGCAGCGAGAGCAGAGCGGACACGCUAGCUCGCGCGCGCGACGCGCCGACGCAACACGGGCGGCCCCGCAAACCGACGCCGCGAGCCGCCGGAACGGAAACGCGGUGCGGGCGGCGCCUUGGGCCCCACCCUGAGCCCGCUCUCGGUCCGCAGCCAGCCAGACCUCACCUUCCUUCCACCUCUCCCGCGUGGGCCCCACCAUCCACCUCACCUGUCACCCUCACCGCCCCCACCCCCUCGUGCUCACUCGUGGUGUAUAUAUUCCAAGCCUCGCCGGCGGCAUCCCCAUCCAUUCUCGCAACUCGCAAGCGCCAACAGCAAACAACAAGCGAGCGAGAAGCUGAAGCAAGAAGCCGUCGAGGACGUGGAUCAAGCGAUCCAUGGCGCCGAAGAGGUCGACUUCGCCGGCCGGAAGCAGCAGCAGCGGCAGCGGCGUGUUCGCGCCGGCGGCGGCGGCGGAGCAGCAGCCAAGGCUCCGUGGGGUGCGGAAGCGGCCGUGGGGCCGGUACGCCGCGGAGAUCCGGGACCCCGUGCGCAAGGCGCGCGUGUGGCUCGGCACCUUCGACACCCCCGAGCAGGCGGCGCGCGCCUACGACGCCGCCGCGCGGAAGCUCCGCGGGCCCGGCGCCACCACCAACUACCCCGCCGCCGACGCGAAAGGGGCGGCGAGCGGGAACACCGUGCUGUCGGAGGACGCGUCGUCGUCCUCCUCGU
rnacentral:lncRNA from 1 species